GCCGGGCAGGGGCGGGGGCGCGCAGCGCGCGGCCGCCCAGGCACCUGCUCCACGCGCGCACUCCGGCCCCAACGCCACCCCGCCGGCCGCGGGCACUGGGCAGCCCGGCCACCCCGCUGUUCCCGGCGCCUCCGGCCACCCCGACGCCGCCGCCCGUCUGCCUGCGGGUCUGGGUGAGGCCGUCCCGCCGAGAGCUGGUGUCGGGGACACUGGCGUGCUCGCUCCGCCCCGGGUGUACUUCGCAAAGCUUUGCAAAAUUUAAGUCCUCGGGUCGGGACAGUCGUGGGACGUGUCUGAGUUAGGAUACUCGAUUUGCAUCGAGGUCUCUGGUUCUGUCUGCACGCGUGGGGCCGUUUGCACUAGCCCCCCCCACGCCCACCCCCACCCCCCGGGACGUACAGGUGCGCACGUGGUCCCCACCCGGUUCAGGCCCGCUCCUCAAAGCGGUGCAGCCUCACUGGGUGUUUCCUGCCAAGUCCCCAGCUGGCAAAGGGGGCUGGCAGCGAGUGGGUCCUUAGGAGACUUGCCAGAGAUUGACGUCACCACUGUUCCUGUCGGAGGGACGCUCCCUGAUUAUGUUUUCACAUGGAGUUUAUUUACAUCCACCACAAGAAAAUAAUUAAAAGAAUAAGGCGGGCACCGCCGAGGUGUAUUUAAUAACCGAAUAGGCCUCACAGUUGGUUACUUUUACUACCGUUUUCCGGGCCGCAUUGUACUGGGUUGCCUCCGGUCCGCUGGAGUGGAGAGUGUCUGGGAUUCUCGCUUCCCUGUGCAAUCUAAACCCUGUGCACCAGCGUGGAAGUCCCAGGGCGCAAUUGCGCCCCCGAGGUCGCGCUCCGGCCCGGUGGUUUCAAGUGUCUGCGCGCCCCUUCCCUCGGUGACCAACAGAGGGCGCCAGUGGCCCAGGCUUGAAUCGACAACGACCGGGUCCAAGGCUCUUCUGCCAAGAGCAAGUGGGUCAGCAAUGCAAACCGAAGAGACCCCCGCGGGAAGGGGCUUUCCUGGACUCUCUCGGAAAUGGAUACUUGCCCUAGGAGGUGGGUAGGUAUCUUGGAGGAGCGUUUUUGCAGUUUGCAGUAGAAACUGCCCCUGGGGACCCCCGUGCGUUCCCCCCUCCAGCCCGGCCCGCCCCCUGAGGGGCUGUGGGCGAAGCCAGCGCGCACCCACCGUCUCUCUGCCCUGCCGUGUGUAGGUGCGCACAUGGGUAGGUGUGUGCGGGCUCCCUUUAGAAUUGGGGACCGAUGUACUCUUGGCAUAUAGACAUAAAGCAGGAGUAAUACUUGCUCCACAGGAAGAGAGAGCUGGAAUGCGCAGAGGGGCCUGCGUCCCCAGCCCCGCAGAGGCACAGCCACCCUCUCACUCCAGCGCGCAGGCUGUGCGGACUCGUCCAGGUUACCGCACACCGUGCGUCACCUCCUGGUUGCCCCCCGCCCCCAUCCCUCCUUGUAGCUGCGUGUUAUCUCCCUCAGCCUCCCAGAACAGGGUCUCGAAUUGCAUUGGAAAAUUAGAGGAAGCAAAAAACAAACAAAAAUCCCUCCGGGUUGGUUGCACGACUCCUUUCCUAUCCACGGAGACCUGGAUUCUGAAACAGCCGGCUGCGCAGCCAGAUUCCUGAGCCUCUGUGUUUAGGCCAGUGUCACCAGGCAGUGUGGCCCUUUUGCAGCGCGGCCAUCCGAGUGUGGUCGGAAAGCGCAGGGAGGACACCCGGGUCCUCCCCUGGUCCUGGGCUUCCCAGCACCCUCCCCCCACCGCCAGGGCCGGGGCCGCACAGCAGGAGCCAGUUCCGCGCGGAGACCCUAGGGGGCGUCGAAGAGCCGGGCGCCGCGACUGCGGUAACCCAAGGCUGCCUCGUCACUCCCGCGAAUGUUCCAUGACCACGUGCGGCAGGGAUGUCGUCCCCCGCUCCGUGAGGUCUCGCGACAACGAGGGCAGGGACCAGAUCUCGCUCAUGCCUCUGAUACCUGUUCCUGAACCCAGGUGCGGAAUGAUGCUUAAAAGUACGUAUUAGCUGGAGCCAUGACGGAGCAGCAAUUAUCAAGAUUGGCAAGAGCGCAAGCAUCAGUUCAAGUCGAAAACAAUUUUAGGGGCCAAAAAUAGGUCGUGUUUUGUUGAAAUGCAGGAAAUAAUUUUCAUUAAUUUUAGUUUGAGGGCUUAAAAAAAAUAAAGCCUGUGUAAACACUUCUGA